rnacentral:misc_RNA from 1 species
UCCAACUUAUCGCUGGCGGUCUCCUGCGAGUUCCGGGUUUUACCCCAUGGCAACACAGGACGAGGGUUGCGCUCGUUGCGGGACUUAACCCAACAUCUCACGACACGAGCUGACGACAGCCAUGCAGCACCUCGACUGGACCUCCUUGCGGAGUAACCGUGUUUCCACGAUCGUUGACCAGCCGUUCGAGCCCAGGUAAGGUUCUUCGCGUUGCGUCGAAUUGAACCACAUGCUCCACCGCUUGUGCGGGCCCCCGUCAAUUCCUUUGAGUUUCAGCCUUGCGACUGUACUCCCCAGGCGGCAUAUUUAACGCGUUAGCUCCGGCACGGAUCAACUGAAUGACCCACACCAAAUAUGCAUCGUUUAGGGCGUGGACUAC